rnacentral:RNase_P_RNA from 4 species
UCAUUAUUCUGUGCGGCCGAGCUAAUGCGAGGCGCACUUGGGGAGGAAAGUCCGAGCACCAGAGAGCAGGAUGGUUUCUAACGGAAACCGGGUAUAACUGACAGUGCUAUGCACUGGAACUCCUAAAUUCAAAGCUCUAAACCCUAAGCAGAUCUCAAAAUCCAAAGGUUUUAAACAUUGGGAUUUGAAAAAUGGUUUAGAAAUUAGAAGUUGAGUAUUAGAAAUUCCAGCGUGUAGCGCUGUCAAGAAGCCUAGGGAAAGUGCCACAGAGACUAUACCGCCAAUGUGCGUCUCACGUUGGUUCGACGAAGAAUAAAGAAGUAAGAAUAAAGUAUUAAGGGUUAAUUCUUCUUAAUUCAUAAUUCUAAAUUAUUGAUUCUGUAAGCCGAGCUAACGCGAGGUGCACGUGGGUAAGGGUGAAAAGUGAGGAAUUAAGACUCCUCUCUCCUCAUGGUGACAUGAAGGAGUGGUAAACCCCAUCCGGUGCAAGGCCGGUGGACCAAGUUAGCUAAUUAUCUGCUCGAUAAGGCUAAUACGGCCCGGCUGCUUGAGCCAAAUGGCAACAUUUGGUCUAGAUAGAUGAUCAUUAAAACUGAACUCGGCUUAUAGGCAGACUGAGUAU